rnacentral:lncRNA from 1 species
CAAUUCAUAAUUCCUAAGUUCUUUAAUUACUUUUAUUUACAUUCAAGUUAUUUAUUAGAUUCCCGCUUGCAUCAAGUGCUCUAGUCUUUAUAACGCUAGAGUAGUAAUUAAUAGAUUAGACGUGGUGUUUAGUCUUGCAAUUACCUGGAAUUGCACCCAAUCCUGCGGAUUGUUGUGGUAGCCCUAAGGUAGUGACAGCCCUAACGGUCGACGUAUUCCACCUCGCCCG